rnacentral:rRNA from 1 species
UACGUAGGCAGCGAGCGUUGUUCGGAGUUACUGGGCGUAAAGAGUGCGUAGGCGGUUCCGUAAGUUCGGUGUGAAAUCUCCCGGCUCAACUGGGAGGGUGCGCCGAAAACUACUGGACUUGAGCACGGGAGAGGAAAGCGGAAUUCCUGGUGUAGCGGUGAAAUGCGUAGAGAUCAGGAGGAACACCGGUGGUGUAGACGGCUUUCUGGACCGUUGCUGACGCUGAGGCACGAAAGCGUGGGGAGCAAACAGGAUUAGAUACCCCCGUA